rnacentral:rRNA from 1 species
AGUGAACGCUGGCGGUAGGCCUAACACAUGCAAGUCGAACGGCAGCACAGGAGAGCUUGCUCUCCGGGUGGCGAGUGGCGGACGGGUGAGGAAUACAUCGGAAUCUACUUUUUCGUGGGGGAUAACGUAGGGAAACUUACGCUAAUACCGCAUACGACCUACGGGUGAAAGCAGGGGACCUUCGGGCCUUGCGCGAUUGAAUGAGCCGAUGUCGGAUUAGCUAGUUGGCGGGGUAAAGGCCCACCAAGGCGACGAUCCGUAGCUGGUCUGGGAGGAUGAUCAGCCACACUGGAACUGGGACACGGUCCAGACUCCUACGGGAGGCAGCAGUGGGGAAUAUUGGACAAUGGGCGCAAGCCUGAUCCAGCCAUACCGCGUGGGUGAAGAAGGCCUUCGGGUUGUAAAGCCCUUUUGUUGGGAAAGAAAUCCAGCUGGCUAAUACCCGGUUGGGAUGACGGUACCCAAAGAAUAAGCACCGGCUAACUUCGUGCCAGCCGCCGCCGUAA